CCUUCUCAGGGAAGCUGAGCCUUCAUGAGGAUGAUGAAAAGAUUUAUGGGGUGCUUUCCUUUAUUUUCUGGACAUUCACCCUCAUGGCUCUCUUCAAAUACAUCAUCAUUGUGAUAUCAGCCAAUGACAACGGUGAAGGAGGCUCCAAGGGAAAAUUGGAAGUGAGUGGAUAUAACUUUUUAGGUUGCUCUUGAAACAGCUUGUUACAAUGGAGGUUAUUCAGUGGAUGACUUCAUGGAAUACAUUCAAGGAUGAAUUUGAGAAUGAAAAGAACAUGCUUGGUGGUUCUUUAGGUAACAGAGCAGCUGAAGAUUUGAGACAGAGAGUAAUAGAACAUAACAUCCUUGUUGUCUCAAAGUAUUACUGAAGGAUUACCUUGGCGAGACUUGCUGAGUUGCUUUGUCUCAUUGUUCAGGU